UACGUAGGGUGCGAGCGUUGCCCGGAUUUAUUGGGCGUAAAGGGUGCGCAGGCGGUCGGGUGUGUCAGAUGUGAAAUCCCGAGGCUCAACCUCGGAACUGCGUCUGAAACUACUCGACUAGAGUACUGGAGAGGGUAACGGAAUUCACGGUGUAGCAGUGAAAUGCGUAGAUAUCGUGAGGAACACCAGAGGCGAAGGCGGUUACCUGGACAGUUACUGACGCUCAGGCACGAAAGCAUGGGUAGCAAACAGG
rnacentral:rRNA from 1 species